AAAACAACCUUUUGCUUCAUCAUCUGGGCAAAAACAAGCGGUCAUCUGCUUUGUCACCCUUUAUACCAUGAGCCAAGUGACUACGGGAAUCUGAUUGGUCGCAGGGUGUCCAUCAAAAAGGGAUAUUGAACACCUAAAAGAGAACUUUUAGUCACAUAGCCAGAAUAUGUGAUGUUAUAGCCAUGGCCCAAACACUACUUGUGAUCCGAGUUAAUGGUGAGUUUUUUCUGCAAUCAAGGUAAUCUAGAAAACUGCUUGUGGACUUUUGCUUCAUCAUCUGGACAAAAACAAGUGAGUGCCUGUGAGUGAGUCUCUUGAGGAUUACUCACAAAAACCAUGUGCACGUAAACACUGGCAUGCACACAUGCACACUCUCUGAAUCUUUCAUGGCUUCCAUUUCCAAGAUUGCAUCUUUCAAUUAGGAGUGAGAUGGCUGUCUGUUGGUCACAGUUUGUGUGUGAGUAUUUAUGUGUGUUGCAGAGGGACAUCAAAACCAUGAACGUUUCUUUGAAUAUUCAACAGUCGUACUGAGGAACAGUAGAAAUACACAAAGUAAGAUUAUCAAUAAACAGUUUAAAGAAGAUUAUGUAAAACAAAGCUGAAUGUAAAUACGGAGAGUUUCAGCUGUGUUUGUGGCAAAUGUGGCCCCAUUUUAUACAAACCCGCUUUCUAUAAAAGCAAAGUUUUAACCUAUUUUACUGCUGUGAAAGAACUACAGGCUCAUGGGGGGGUCACAAAGUUUCUCAUUAAAUGAAUUGCACAUCUCUGGGGGAAGUAUAAAUUAGAAAAAAACAAGAAGAAAAACAUUUGUGAUCCAGAAAGACUUAAAAUUUUGGAUUCUAAAACUUUGCAUAUCAGAUUAAUGUACCAAUUAAUAAAAAUGGGUUAGAAGGCUCUUUCAUUAUUAACUAUGCUAAUUCCCUAGACUUUACAUGUAUGAGAGGUCAAAAAAUGGGACCGCGUUCCUUAAAAAAAACAUUUUGUCAAAAAAAUCACUUUCAUAAGGAAACAAAAAAGUUUCCAAAAAAAUAGUUUUUACAAAUCAAGUUUAAAGAGGAAAUAACCCAAAGCUCGAUAUGUUCAAUUUUCCUGUUUGCCUGGGACAAUCAGGCAAGUGGAGCCUCCAAUGCUGUCAAUGUGUUACUCUGGACUAACAUGUUGGUCAUGCUAACAGUUAUAAUGUAGGUCACAAUAAACCUACAAUGUGUCAAUAGUUUACUGUUCUAGGAUCCAGACUACACUAAAUCUUAGUUUGCGUUACUUUUGUUGAUGUAGCGAUGGGGGCAGGUCGUUUAAGUAUUCUUCUUUCUGUUCCUAUUCAUUUAUUAACUGUUAUAAGUUUGUUUUGUAUUGUAUUGAUGUUAUGUAUUGUUAUUCAAGUGAAAUAAAAUAAGAAAAAAUAAUCUACAACCCCAAAACUUCUGUUACUAGUAUCUCAUUGUGGUUUAACCUCAGCAAUCACUGUUAAUCACAUGUUAAAUAAUUUAUUUUAGCUUUACAAUUCUAGAUAAUAACCAAUGCA